rnacentral:lncRNA from 1 species
UACUAUACUCUUAUGAGUACGAUCGCCUUCAUACUCAUAAGUCAUUUUCGAUGAUAGAGCUUUCGAAUCGACGAUCCAUACCGUUAAACAUUUUCUAGAGCAUUUAAAACUUCUAGAAAUCAAAUUUUAUAAUUUUUCGACAUCAUUUACCUUGCGAUCAAAAGCUCACAAAAUUAACAAUUUUUAACGGCCGAUAUGUGAUACUUGCUAGUUUAACGGUGCAAAAGAAUCGGAAUAGGUUAAAUUUUUGAUAGAAAACUCUAUUCACUAUCUAGAUAAAGAUUAAUAAUUUAAACUUAAAUUGAAGGAUCCGAUCAUCUAUUUUUAGAACGUCGUUCGAUUUUGACCAUUCAUUUUAUACCUGCUUAAUGGACUUUAUUAUAAUUUCGAAAAAUUACGAAAUUUAUUAUUUAAAAGCUUCAAAUACUCUAAAUCAUAUUUAACAAAAUAAAUCGUCGAUUUGAAAGCUCGAUCAUCGAAAAUAACUUAUAAGUACGAAAAGCUCUGUACUAACC